GAUGAAGAACGUAGUGAAAUGCGAUACUUGGUGUGAAUUGCAGAAUCCCGCGAAUCAUCGAGUUUUUGAACGCAAGUUGCGCCCGAAGCCAUUCGGCCGAGGGCACGUCUGCCUGGGUGUCACGCAUCGUUGCCCCCCCAAACUCCGGUUCGGGCGGGGCGGAAGUUGGCCUCCCGUGCGUGCCUGCGCGCGCGGUUAGCCCAAAAGCGAGUCCUCGGCGACGAGCGCCACGACAAUCGGUGGUUUUUUUACCCUCGUUCCUCGUCGUGCGUGUCCCGUCGCCCGAACGCGCUCUUGUGACCCUCACGCGUCGCCUCGGCGGCGCUCCCAACGCGACCCCAGGUCAGGCGGGACUACCCGCUGAGUUUAAGCAUAUCAAUAAGCGGAGGA
rnacentral:misc_RNA from 1 species